CCCUUACUCCUACGGGAGGCAGCAGUGGGGAAUAUUGCACAAUGGGCGCAAGCCUGAUGCAGCCAUGCCGCGUGUAUGAAGAAGGCCUUCGGGUUGUAAAGUACUUUCAGCGGGGAGGAAGGGAGUAAAGUUAAUACCUUUGCUCAUUGACGUUACCCGCAGAAGAAGCACCGGCUAACUCCGUGCCAGCAGCCGCGGUAAUU
rnacentral:rRNA from 1 species